AUCCAGACUCCUACGGGAGGCAGCAGUGGGGAAUAUUGCACAAUGGGGGAAACCCUGAUGCAGCGACGCCGCGUGAGCGAUGAAGUAUUUCGGUAUGUAAAGCUCUAUCAGCAGGGAAGAAGAUGACGGUACCUGACUAAGAAGCCCCGGCUAACUACGUGCCAGCAGCCGCGGUAAUACGUAGGGGGCAAGCGUUAUCCGGAUUUACUGGGUGUAAAGGGAGCGUAGACGGCGAUGCAAGCCAGAUGUGAAAGCCCGGGGCUCAACCCCGGGACUGCAUUUGGAACUGUGUGGCUGGAGUGUCGGAGAGGCAGGCGGAAUUCCUAGUGUAGCGGUGAAAUGCGUAGAUAUUAGGAGGAACACCAGUGGCGAAGGCGGCCUGCUGGACGAUGACUGACGUUGAGGCUCGAAAGCGUGGGGAGCAAACAGGAUUAGAUACCCUAGUA
rnacentral:rRNA from 1 species